GGGUGAGUAACACGUGGAUAACCUACCUAUAAGACUGGGAUAACUUCGGGAAACCGGAGCUAAUACCGGAUAAUAUAUUGAACCGCAUGGUUCAAUAGUGAAAGACGGUUUUGCUGUCACCUAUAGAUGGAUCCGCGCCGCAUUAGCUAGUUGGUAAGGUAACGGCUUACCAAGGCAACGAUGCGUAGCCGACCUGAGAGGGUGAUCGGCCACACUGGAACUGAGACACGGUCCAG
rnacentral:rRNA from 1 species